UAGGGAAUAUUGCGCAAUGGGCGAAAGCCUGACGCAGCAACGCCGCGUGGGUGAUGAAGCUUCUUGGAGUGUAAAACCCUGUCAGUGGGGAAGAAACGUGCGCCGAGUAACUGCGGUGCGCCUGACGGUACCCACAGAGGAAGUCCCGGCUAACUCCGUGCCAGCAGCCGCGGUAAUACGGGGGGGACAAGCGUUGUUCGGAUUCACUGGGCGUAAAGGGCGCGUAGGUGGGCUUUCGAGUCGGAUGUGAAACCUGCCGGCUUAACCGGCAGCCUGCAUCUGAUACUGGAGGUCUUGAGUACGGAAGAGGAGAGCGGAAUUCCAGGUGUAGCGGUGAAAUGCGUAGAUAUCUGGAAGAACACCGGUAGCGAAGGCGGCUCUCUGGUCCGAUACUGACGCUCAAGCGCGAAGGCUAGGGGAGCAAACAGGAUUAGAUACCCUGGUAGUCCUAGCGGUAAACGAUGGGCACUAGGUGUCGGGGGUAUCGACCCCCUCGGUGCCGAAGCUAACGCAUUAAGUGCCCCGCCUGGGGAGUACGGCCGCAAGGUUG
rnacentral:rRNA from 1 species